rnacentral:lncRNA from 1 species
UGGCUGUUUAAAAGGAGAUAUUUGUUCUCAUGGUGAUCACUAAAACUCUGAAGAAGCCUCAGGAACUGUAUCUUUAAAGUGAUAUCUGGGCUACAGUCACAAUUUUGAUUGUGUCCAUGCAGAACAAGAGCAGAUGCUGAAUGCUUCCUCCAGAUCAGUUUAUCAAACAAAUUAUUGAGGCCAGGAAUCAGUUUGAAUUCUGCUAUCAUUUUGUGAACCUGAUUCCUCUGUCUCCCCAUGAGCAACACACAGAGAACAUACAACACCUCCAGUUUAUACAUGAUCUCGUGCAUGAUCUUCAUAGACUGUGGAAGCUGCGUUCGUGUUGAGGUGUUGGCCAGACCACUUUCAUCAGAAGACUCUGUACUGCUCUGCUCUGCCUCUUCAUUUGCCACUCUCAUCAAUGCAUCAAGUACGAGGGCAUUGUCCAGCCAGGUGUACCACUCUUCUAGCUCCUGGAGGAAGCUGGAGGUGCCUGUUG